UACGUAGGGGGCAAGCGUUGUCCGGAAUCAUUGGGCGUAAAGAGCGUGUAGGCGGCCAGAAAAGUCCGCUGUGAAAACUCGAGGCUCAACUUCGAGCUGUCGGUGGAAACUUUCUGGCUAGAGUCCGGAAGAGGAGAAUGGAAAUCCUGGUGUAGCGGUGAAAUGCGCAGAUAUCAGGAAGAACACCCGUGGCGAAGGCGGUUCUCUGGGACGGUACUGACGCUGAGACGCGAAAACGUGGGGAGCGAACAGG
rnacentral:rRNA from 1 species